CUUUAGUGCCUUCGGGAACGCUGAGACAGGUGCUGCAUGGCUGUCGUCAGCUCGUGUUGUGAAAUGUUGGGUUAAGUCCCGCAACGAGCGCAACCCUUAUCCUUUGUUGCCAGCGAUUCGGUCGGGAACUCAAAGGAGACUGCCGGUGAUAAACCGGAGGAAGGUGGGGAUGACGUCAAGUCAUCAUGGCCCUUACGAGUAGGGCUACACACGUGCUACAAUGGCGCAUACAAAGAGAAGCGACCUCGCGAGAGCAAGCGGACCUCACAAAGUGCGUCGUAGUCCGGAUCGGAGUCUGCAACUCGACUCCGUGAAGUCGGAAUCGCUAGUAAUCGUGGAUCAGAAUGCCACGGUGAAUACGUUCCCGGGCCUUGUACACACCGCCCGUCACACCAUGGGAGUGGGUUGCAAAAGAAGUAGGUAGCUUAACCUUCGGGAGGGCGCUUACCACUUUGUGAUUCAUGACUGGGGUGAAGUCGUAACAAGG
rnacentral:rRNA from 1 species